rnacentral:lncRNA from 1 species
GCGGGCCCUCUGGGCGGGACCUUCGGGAAUCUCCCGCUGCAACCGGAGCCUUCUGGAUUCAUUUGCGCCUCCCCUCCCUCUUACCACUUCGUUCCAGCUUCUCAUCCUGAGCUACAGACAUUUUAAAUCUAGAUCGGAAGAGCAAGGCGUUAACCAAGGCCAAAUGGUUGAGCCAACAAUUCAUCCCUUCAGCAAGCGUUUAUCGAGCACUUACUGUGUAGCAAGCCCUGUGCCAGGUCUUGGGCAGGAGGUGGAGAAGGCUUCCAUCUAUUUUCAGCAGGUGUUGGAAAACCAACAUAUAUUGAUAGCCACCGGCUCAAGGCAAUUUAGUAAAGUCCGACCUUGCACUUUUGAGGCAGGCAGCAGAACCACUGAGCUAAAUCCCGGUCCAGUAAUCCUGUGUUGAUGAAGAUCUUCUGUUGAUGAGAACCAGGAUGUCUUCAGCUGAUGUAAUCUUUCCCUUGAACUUCACAGUAUCACAGGACCAUUGAGGCCUCUACUUGUGACUGGAGACAAACGGAGUUAUGUUUUCACAUGCCAUAGCUGGCUCACAGGCAAGGUCCAUGAAGUAUGCUGCUGGGAUUUCAGUUGGGAUUGCAUUGAAUCUAUAUAGCAGUUUUGGAAGUAUGGCCAUUUUCACUAUGUUGAUCCUUCCUACCCAGGAGCAAGGCUGCAGGCUGCUGGGACCCAUGAACAUAAGGAGUGAGGAGGAGGCAAGGAGAGGCAACUUGGAGGAUGUGUUCCCAGAUCUCUGGAUCCAACAGCCUUGGCCUUGAGCCUAGUGUAGUGUGAGGAGUCCAGUCCUCUCUCAGUUCCUCCAGCGCCCUGAGCCCUAAGUUUGAGUGCUUCUGCUUGCUGCCUUCCCAUCUACCAGCAAAA